ACCAAAGUGUCAGUGUAAUGGCAAGAAGUUUUGAGAAAACUGACCAUCCAGUAAAGGAUCAAUCAGCGUGGCGGCAUGAUGUUGUUAGAAGUAGAGUCAUGGACUAUUACUUAUAAAGUGAUUAAUUUACCGUUAUCGAAAACUGGAACGAGCUAUACACUAAUAAAUGAUUAAAUAUACAAACAUCGUGCAAAAUUCUUCGCAAGUUAAUAAUAAAUUUAAAUUAUUUAUGUAUGUACAGCAGGAACUACUGCUUUGUUGGCAUUUCUGCUCUUCUGAAUAAGCUCCUCGUAGAGAACGUAACUAUGUUCGCCGGAUCGCUUACGUCUUAUGCUGACACUACCACGUCUUUCAACAAUUACUCGCAAACCUUCAUCGAAAUGAGUUUCCAUAAUAUUCAUAUUAUUCCUCUUUUCCAUUAUUUUGUUUAUACACAAGCUUUUAAUUUACACUAAAUUGGACAACCGUUGUUUAUCCCUUAUUAGUGCUGUAAAUUUUCAAGUCAUGCAGCCUGAAGAUCGCUUAUCGAGCACUGUUGUACUGUUGAGGACACUAAUUUUUAUUUAUUUAUCCCUUUGUUGCUAAGUAAUACAGAAAUUGAUUGUAAGCGGUUGCGUACCGUUCAGUAAUUUACGACUAAAUAAAAAGAAAUAUUGAGACCUGA